rnacentral:lncRNA from 1 species
UGUCCUUCACCUGUGCUCCAUGCUCAAUGCAGAACUGUGCUUACUUUCUGACAAGCCCUUGCACUUCUAUUAUUGCAGGCUCCAGACUCUGCAGCCCCAAGGCUUCCAGCUGCUGUGCUCUGGGCACAGUGUGAAGAAGAGUUUACAGCACCUGUGCCAAGCUGACUAUGAAGCCAAGUAUCAGCAUGUGCUCUUGAAUGUCCACGGGAAACUACAGAGGCUGGAGGGACUAGGACUGGCAAGACAGUCUUGAACUAUUACAACUGGAUAAAAGGUGGGUCCAGGCAGUGCAAGAGACAGUAGAAGUGAAGGAGGCACAAAGGAAACACAGAAAGAAAAGGAAUAAGAAGGAACACCCACCCCCCCACCCCCCAAACAACUAAAGAUAAGUUGUUUUGAUGAGCUCUGUACAUCCUGUUUUGGGACAGGACAGUUGUUUAUCAGGUUUUGGCCACUGUGUGCAGGAGGAGGACAAACCACCGAGUGGGGAGAGGGUUUGGAAGCAGUGUGGGUACAGAAUUAAAACAAGGCUACUGGACAUGUGUGUACAUAUACAUGUGUGAUGGGGCUCUGUGGCAUGGUGACCACUGUGAAGCUCACCACAUGUGGAUGAGGCUGGAAAGGUCUCUAGUUGUUUGGAUUGUGGCUGUGUCUGAAGGGAGAGCCAGAGCUUAUAUGGAAAGCCUUACAGUAGUGGCAUCUACUGCCAUUCUUAAUGCCUACAUCAGUCUGGGAGCUCCUGGACCUGUCAGCUCUUUGGUGUAGGAAUCUGAUAGGGAAGAGGAGCACAGGGAGGAACCUGUGAGUGCCUCUUCUGCCUGACUCCUCAGCAGGUCCUGUAGCAUGUGAGGGUGUGAGGCAGGCCCUGAGCCCCUUCAGAGGGUCAGCAGGUAAUUCUGGCCAGUGUGGAUCUGCCCUCCUCUCACACCUGUGCUUGGACACUCACUUCAAUAAGCUUGAAUGUGGAUUCCAAAGUGGGGCUGGAGAUACAGCCACUGCAUCCCACAGGAGAACAAGUGUGCCUGUGACCCCAGUGCUAUACCAGUGAGAUGCUGCAGACUGCUCAUGGGUGUAAAGUAUCUGCAGUGGCAAUGGGAAAUGUGUCUGACGACUCUUGAAGGCAGCUGGCAGACCUGGAACUGGGAAGCCCGAAAGGGCUCGUGAACCAGUUCUUAUGUAGGCCUUUUGUCUGUGCUGGAAACAGCCACCAAAAGGAACAUGAGCAAAGUCCUUGUUCCUUGUCUGGUCAGCACAUGCAGCCACACCAGAAAGAUCUCUGUCACAGCUUGGAACCAAGUUCACAGGGUAAGGACUGAAUGGGUUCAGAUUUAAAGAAAAAACAAACCUUUCCCCCUCCCCAAAGAAAAAAAAACAGCUGGCAACAACUGCCCCCAAAACCCAACCUCCAAAACAAAGAAAAAACUCACCCAAACCCUCCAAAAACCUCUAGCCACAUACUUAUUUAAUAUUAAACAAGUGACACAACUUGCCUGUGGUGUGGUCCUGGAGGUAAGUCAGUUGGGCCAACAUGAUAGUUUCCAACAAAGCCGUGUCCAGUGAGGCAGCAUGGUCCAGGAGAAAGUCAGGGGAUCGGUGUAGCAGUUCAGGGUAGAGGCAUGUAGUCUGGAUGCAUGGCCACCCUUGCUAGCCCUCAGGCACCCUUGGCAGGUCUCUAUGUCAGCUCAGCAAUCCCAGACACCCUUAGCUAUAGGGCUGGGUAGAGAAUAUGGGCUGAAAUUCCACCAGCAGCUAAUGAGUCCCUGUUGCCAUUGUUGGCACUCAUAGCCUGCCCAGCUGGAAGGUUCUCAUGUUGGCAGGGACACAGCAAAAUAAAAGGUUAUUUGCAGGAAAGUAAUUUGAGAGUAAACUAAAUUUAACAGGUCCUAAACCUAUGUCAAGCUACCACAACAUCCUAGCUAAUGGCAUCUGCUCUGUGUCCUGCAGAAUGAGCAGUGAUAACUGGGGUGGGACAGGGUGCUUUCAGCAUCUUUCACCCCUCCAAGUGUGACCUGCUAUGCAAUCCACCCCU